CGGUGGUUUUCUGCUAUGAGAUCGGGUUGUUGUCACUUUUCGCUUAUUGCGCCCAUUUCAAUGUACAUGUUAGGAUUGGUAUUCACCCCAUGUACACACUGAUACUUACUUUUGUCUUCCCUGAUACUUGGUAUAACCACCGAGAGAUAUACAGUUUGUAACCUACAGGUAUUCGAUACAAAGCAUAUACAAAUAUUUCCCCUUUAGUAACUUCU
rnacentral:lncRNA from 1 species